rnacentral:lncRNA from 1 species
GAUUAGUCGAUUACUUGCCCCCCAAGUUACUCGGACUUCUUGUUAUCAAAGGAUUGUCGUGGAUGGGUCAAGUCCACAUUAAGUUCUUUUUCUUGCCUUGCGAACAAGGACUUUCAGUUCAUAGUCUUGUGUGUUCGAAUGGAGGGAGUCCAGAUCCUCUUAAGUCAUUUACUUGGUUCUUGAUUGAUUUUAAUGAUAGCAUGUCCAUUAAACUAAUGAGAUCCGAAUGCAAAUUGAACUCUUAUAAUGGGAAAGCAGAUAGAAAUGACUUGAAUACAUACUGGAAAAGACAUUAAGUAAUAGAUCUAUUAACUUAUAAAACAAACAAAGAACUUUGAGCAAGAUUUCACCUUGUCGGGCAAGGUUGAACUUCUUGCAAUCACUUCUAUUUCGAGUUUACAAGGUUUAUAUGCUAAAAAGGGAUGGAUGGUAAACAAAUUCACACAAGGGAAUCAAUAUUAUGCCACUAGGGGUGAUAGUAGAGCUUUUAAACUAGACAAAAGAUGGGUUUUGUAGGGAAUGAUCCUGAAAAGGAUUGAGAUCUAGGUUGAUUACAGCUUUUAGAUGCAAAUCUGGCUUGAGAGCAUAGUUUGUAUAUUUGUUUGUUUGAUUGGUUGAGUAUCCUUGUCUCUGGGGCCUUUUCCUCCUUUUAUUGGCAGAUUAGCCUGACUGCAGUAACUUUACUCUUACUCGAAAGCACUUGGAGGGUAGUGAGUCAUCAGCUUUUUACUUGUAUUGCCACUGAAAAGUACUUUUUGGCUGAUUGUGAGUUAGUCCCCAUCACUUGACUUUUAAAUCAUAGACACAUGGCUUAUGCAUCAAUGAGAAGGCGCCAAUUUGUCUCUGGGCUUGAUGCUGAGUUUUGGGUAAGUCUUCUUUUAAUUGGUAUCAUUGGGCUUCCACACACUUGCAGCUCAAUGUUCAAAUAUUAACCCAAACAAGCUCUACGAGCCUUUUAAGCCAAAUUCCUUCAUUUACUAGAGUUGAGGUACGGUAUAAGUAAAAGCUUAUUAUGAGGUUGUUAAAUUUUAUAUUUGUUUAUAAACUUUCAGAUUUUCUCACGCUUCAGGAGUGGAUUAUAAUAUUUAAGGUUAUCGUUUAAUUUAUUUACUUUAUUUGUGACACUACGUCAUAUAAAUCAUAUGAGGAACUCUAGUCAAAUCCAGAUUAACAUCAAUCCAUUAUUAGUUUUGCUACAACAAACUUUGGUGCUUAUGAAUGGAGGAAAAUGCAAGCGAUUGUUGUAAAAUCGACUGUGGGUGCAGUGGAAUAAAUGAAACAAGACACAAAAUUUACAAGGUUCCUCUACAGUCAGUAUGACUGGAGUACGUCCUCGGGGCAGCAGUGGUGCUUUCAUUAUAAUUUGAAAUAAUAGGAGUACAAAGAUAACUCUCUUUAUAUCUCCCCCUCAUCUUCCUCAUCUUCCUCUUUUUUCCUCUUCUUUCCUCUCUCUCUCUCUUCCUCUUCCGUAAGUCACUCACCUCUUCUUCUCUUCUUCAAAUAUAUAAACAAAAGAAAGCACUAUUCACUUUACAACUUUUCCACAAAUGAAUAGUGAAAAUACUGUGCAUAAAUAGUAACAAACUAUUCAUGUGGACCAUCCACAUAAUAUUUACAACACUCCCCCUUGGAUGGCCACAAGUCUUCGAUUGACUCGUUAAAAUCUUGAUCUGUCUUGGAUGCUCCCCCUGAUGAGUAUCUCCCCCUGAUUUCAAAUCAUUUAGGUUGAUCGUUGAUCGUUCUGCUUUAGUCUCUUAGUAAGAAGAGUUGCUGAAAGAGUUGCUUUACUUGUUGUUAACUUUCCACAGGCUUUUUCUUGAACUGGGUUGUAGGACUUUCUGCUAGACUAGCAUCCAAAGGUCUGAAUUUACUCCUUUUAUCUGGAGCGGAAUUUGAUUCAAGAGUAGUGAACACUUGAUAUUGAAUCGGACUUGUGAUUUUUUCAAGGACCUUCGAUGCUUGAUCUUGAAUGAAAUUGGACCAUGAGGAGCUUCAUGUGGCAAGUGAUCUUCAGUUUUGUUAGGGAUGAAUCAGCACGCGUUUGUUGCGUUUGUCUCCACAUGCUUCAAUGUAUCAUUUUCACUUUCCUUACUUGCUCCCCUUGCUUAAGUAGUAUUUUCCCUGCUUUUCCCCCAUGCAUGUGUGGCAUCUUCUCCGGCAGUAUUUGCCCUCUGAUGCCGGAGUGGAGUGAUGUGAGAAUUUCUUGACACACAAAUUAAACCCUCUUUGUGACAAUUGUAGUAUAGAUGUAAGUAGGGUAUCGUUCUAGGCCGGGGAUUAAGAGGGAUUGCUAAUCUAUUCUAAAUUAAUUUAAAAAUAUUAAAUAAGACUCAAGGACACAAAACUAGGCUAAAAACUCUAAUAACUUGAAACACACUUAGAAUGACUCAAAAUAAUGGAAACACUCAAUUUAGACACUAGGAACUGAAAUGGACGGAAAUUGAAUUAAAAGACUAACAAUAAUGAAAACUAAAUAAAUAAUAUAAUUUAAUAAUGGAGGGGUGUUUGGUUUCGACGAGAAAUUAAACUUAAAUAAAUUACAGAAUUGACAAAAACAUGAAAUUAAGGUGAAAGGAUAGGUGAUGGAUUAGCUAGAGGGUUCUUCUCCACACAUGACACAUAUGCAACCUAAAUUGAUUUUCAGUUGUUCUUUCAAUAAGUUGUGAAUCUCAACACUUCAGAUUAACCGUGAACAGCACUUUUUUAAUCUUCUAGUUUUCCUUAAGUUAUUGAAUUGGACGGGAAAACGCAUACAACAAUUCAAAACAUUCUUCAAAAGUCCUCUACGUGAAAAACACAAUAGAGAUACAAUCAAAGAUCAUUAGACUUUGUGAAAACUAUAAGCAUUGACGAGGCUUUCGUAACUAUGAAAAGCAUGAUACUCUUGCCUAGAAUUCACUUAACACGAUUGUGGAUAACAACCUUCACUACUUGUGAAUAUAAGUUCAUAACGAUUAGGUGAAAUUCACUUAUAUUCUAGCAUCAAAUUCAUGCAUGUAAAUUAAGUAUGCAUCCUUAAUCGACAUACAAAAAUAAGUUAUCAAUCAAGCAGUUAAGCAAAUUAAAUCACAACUCAGAAAUCACAACUGAAGGUAAUCAAUUCAUAUUACAAAUAUAUUCAUGGCUUUGAAUUAACCUCUAGCCAAAAUAAAUUAGUUACACAUUAUUAACAAAUUAAACCAAACGUAAAUCAUGAGUUUGAAAGAUUUAACCGAGAGAAAUGGAGUGAAGCCUCUAAUUUUCUUCUCACUGUGCCCGUGCCUUCUGACCUGCGCUGCAAGGCUCUGACCUGCCAAGGCAGCUCUCUGCUUCCCUGUUUUUCUCGCUGCCUAAGGCAGCUCUCUGUUCGCCUGACCUCGCUGUCAGUCUCCCUCACUAGCUUUUCAAAUGGCGCUGCCUUUCAAGGCAGCUUGGCUGCUUCUUUCCGUCCCUCUCUCUCUCUCCCUCUCAUCCUUCUGUUUCUUCUUUUUUUUAUAUUCUGCGCACUCCUCUCAUCUUCUCCUCCUUUUCACGCUGCAAAGCAGCUUUCUCUAUAUUCUUCUCUUAUUUCUCAAGGCUGCAAGACAGCCUUUUCUUUCCUUAGCUGUCCCGCCUGCUUUCAUGCCUGGCGCUCCGCAAGUCUCUCCUUGGAUUCGCUGUCUUUCCUUUUUUUCUUGGAUCCCCUUUCUUUAUUUUAUUCCUCUUGCUGUCCUUGGAUUCUUCCUUGACAAAAUAAUACAAAACUAAUUUGUAUCAUAAACUCUAAAUUAGUAGCAGUUGGGAAUUAAGAACAAAUUCAAGUAACAAAUCCAAAACCAAUAUUCUAUGAAACAAUCAAUUCAAUGCAUAUAAAAUAAACCAAAAUAAACCAAAAUAAAACCCAAUCCAAAAAUAAAACCAAUAUUCUUUCUGUUUAUUAUUUAAAACUCAUUUGUGCUAUUUUUAUUUUCUUUGCAUAACAAAACUUAUAAACAUAAAAAUAACGUAAAUAGCUCAAAAAUAUAAGGAACUAACUAAGAAAAGACGAGUGAAUUCGAAGUAAAAAUAUAUAUAAAUAUGAUCCGAUCAUGGAGUGCAACCCUUGCAUUUGGAUGGUUCAUCACUUCUUGGUGACUGGAGACCCAGCUCCAACCGUUGAAGAUGACUACUCGAGAGCAACACUAGGUAAGCAAUCAGGAAAGGUUCCAGGCAGUCGGUUCCUUACCGGGAGUUUGAGUGGAGGUUCCGACAUAUUGCUUUCUUUAUCUUUGUCUUCGCAGGCAAGAACAAGGACAAAGGAAAGGACAGAGAGAUUGCAUGAUAUGAGAUAAUCUUGCUCUGGUCCCUGAAGAUAUGUGAUAAUCUUGCUCUGAUGUGACAUGUUUGAAGAGGUAUUCUCGGAGAGGAAGAAAACUGAGUAUUUCGAGAUGCUAUGUUGAAGAUGCAUUCUCGGAGAUGAGGAAGAGUUAGGUAUUCUUGCAGUGUUGCGGGUCUGCCUUGUUAUGGAGAACAGAGGUCGACAUAUAUAGAGAUUUCUCAAUAGCAAGUGGUGGUGCUGUGCUUUUACUCUUGUCAGCAACUGUGGUGUAAAUAGAACAGUAAGAUUUACGCGUUUUCAACUUUGUCAGAGAUCUUUGAUAAAGUUGCACGCGAUAUCUGAAAAGCUGAGAUUACAUCUGAAAAAUGCCAACGAAUUUUAUUCAGGAAAAUUUGGCUUUUGAAAUUCGGAGAGCGGUGCCUCAUCGAUCAUUGAACAAGUGGCUCUGCUGCCUCUUCUUUUAUAGAGACAUCAAUUGUGUUCAAGAGUAUGCUCAGAAAGUUGCUGGUUGUAGAAAUUUCCCCUAUCUUGCACCUUUGAAAUUUUAUUUGACCUCUGUUUUUCCUUCAUCAUUUCUGAAAAAUGACUUGCCCAUCUAACAUUUGCUUAGAUUUGAGUCUUAGGAGUGAUACAGACGAGCAGCGUCAGGAUAAUAUAUGGCGCCCGUCCUUCUUAUCUUCUAAUGGUCCUCUUACGGUUGGGGACUCUGUGAUGAAGAAUAACAUAACCGCUACUGUGGUAGCUAGGAAUCUUCUCACUCCAAGGGAUAACAAGAUCCUUUCAGAACGGUCUGAAGAGUCGGCCGUUCAAGACUCCUUGGCUCUCAGUGUUCAGUGUGCUGGUUCUGUGUCCAAUAUGGGCCAACGCCUACUUGCUCAAACUUGCCAAGUUGAAUCAUUGAUGGCGGAGGUGGCAAGUCUUAAACAAGAGAUCAGAUGGCUCAAGCACGAGAAUAAGGUGUUACACGUGCUUGCAAAUAGUUACUCUACGAGCAUGAAAAGAAAGCUCGUCCAACUGCAGGAAUCCGAAAGUCGGAUUCAAAGUGAUCACCAGAGGUUUGUUGUUAGAUUCCGAAAGCAACUGAUGCUUUCCUCUUCUGGUGUUUUGCUAAGUACUGGGGUGCCACAUGAUCAAUCUCCAGUGCCUCCCCCUUCUGGGGUACUUCCGAGUACUGAGGCUUCACAUGAGCAACCUUUGUGAAGGCUCCAUCCUGUUUGUUUGUUUUAACUCAUGUAUAUGUACAUAUCUGUAAUUUCUUGGAGAUAUUAAUAAAUAAACUUUAUUUCAUUCAAUGUAUUGUGCCAAAUACAAUAAAGCAUAUACUUCACUAAGAUGUGGUACUUCUGGACCAAAUAUUAAUUUAUCUUUACCCUCACGAAGAUAAAUGAUUAUUCUUAGUGUCUUCAUCAUAUGAGUAUUCAACUCAUAAUCUUCAAUCCAUAUGGUUCUUUUAAUAUCAUAAAUAUCAUGGAUAAGAUUCGUGUUGGUAAAUUGUUCGAUCUGCAGCUCGAGACAAUAAUUCCUUCAACACUUUAUAAUUUUUCUAGACUCUUCAGGAGUCCCAAUUUAAUAUUAUCAACUCUUCAAGAGUUCUAAUUUAAUGUCAUUGACUCUUGCAAGAGAUUUUAGUAUGUUGCAACAAUAUCAUAAUGAUAGUACUCACUAAGGCAAUUUAUAUCAUCCAUUGGUAUUGAGUACAUAUUUUAUGUUUUACCCUUCAGAGGCUUACUUCAAGCAAUUUGAAUCCUUCAAGGGUUUUCUACACUUCAUGAUACAUUUUCCUUUGGAAUUUAUACAGAGCAAUUUGCUCUCAUGUAUACUUGAGGGAUUUACUUAUGCAGAUAUAAUGUGGGCGACUCACAACCCUUCGUAUAUAAUUCUCCAUUCAUAUGAACUCGUUUACAACCUUGUGUCAUAUCAUGUAAGUGUAUUACAUUGUAUUACAAAUGCCCAUAUGUAACCUCCUUGGUUCAACGUCUUUUGGCUAUUUGUAUUGUAUUCAAAUAUAUAUAGGUUCAUUUGCCCACGUUCUUACAAAAUUGUAAUGGAAUUGCCUUUCUCCAUUUUGGCCAAUAAUUUUUCUUUUGUCGACAAACAAAAGAACGUGACUCAAUAUUAAAACAGCUCAUUGAUGAAUUUAGUAGCUACUUGUAAAAACCAAAAUUACCAUUGGUUAUCAUCAAUCCGUGAUCCCAUAUUCUCAUGUGCAUGCGCAUGCAUAAAAGCUUUUCAUUUCUUUGGAUAUCCAUUGCCUUUUCAAGGGCAUGACGCUAUCUCUUCCAGGAUAGUCAUAAUUUAGAGAAUGUGGAUCAUAACCUCCUCUUGAGCGUUAUAGAGCUUGGAUUUUAAUCUCCACUUCUGGGAGUUGAGUCAUUGGAACCUAUAUGUCUAUUAUGCUCUAUGUAUGAGACAUCAAUAUUCCUAUGUCUGUGGAUUGUCCUAUCUGGGACGUGUAUCCAUGCGGCGACUGUCAUGCUUCUGGCAUGCAACAGUUAUGCUUCGGGAAUGCAAUAGUUCAGUAGUGCCAUAUUAUUCUUCUUUCGAAUAACUGAACCUUUUGAGUCUAAAAAUCUACCACGCUUCAGGCGUGCAACAGAUAAAUCAUUUACUGUCUCAUUAUUUUAUCCAACAGAGACAUCAAUUCUUGUAGGCACAUUUGCAGUAAGUAUAUAUGAUUUCAUCACUUUCGUUGCAUCAUUCAUUUAUUCAUAUUUCAUUUUCUCAUUGAUUGCUUCGUGAAUCAAAAUAAGACAAAUUCUCUUCGUUCUUAUAGAACGGUCUUUUCUCAUCAUUCUUUUGGAAUGAUAUUUUCUCAUCGUUCUUCUGGAACGAUAUCAUUUUCUCCCCCUAAUGGCAGGAAAAUUGUCUUAUCAAAAUGACAGUCCGCAAACCAAGUGGUAAAUAUAUCCCCAGUCAAGGGUUCUAAAUAUUGAAUGAUAGAUGAUGUUCAACAUCAAUGCCCAUUUCAGUACGUUGUGGCAGUGCAAUAGGCACAUAGAUAACACAACCAAAAACUCGUAAAUGUAUAAUGUUUGGCUAGUUCCCAAACACGAGUUGUACUGAGCAAUAUUGAUGGUUGGAAACUGGUCUCAUCCGAACUUAAUAAUGCGUCAUGUAAAAUGACAUGUCCCCAUGUAGAAAACUGGUAAUUUCAUUUUCAUGAGCAAAGCGCGGGUAAUCAAUUUCAUCCGCUUAAUAAAUGCUUCUGCUAAACCAUUUUAAGUAUGGACAUAAGGAACUUCUGGUCCUUAUUAAAUACUCUAUGGACUGAGACUUUUAUGACCUUUAUUAUAAUUAAGUUGAGGCACUGUGACACUUCAAACUUAAGGUACUUAUCAAGAAACUUCAUGUCCGAUCUUGAGGAUCUAGGGACUUCAUGUUUGAUCUUUUUGCAUGAUGGAACUUCGGGUCCUAUCAUUUUAUGUGAUGAGGAUCAAGAAACUGCAGGUUCUGAUCUAAUCAAGGAACUCUGGGUCCUUGUUAUACUCAUCGUAACAAAAGAUAAGUGCAAUAAAUAAAUUAAAACAAUAGGCGGUAAUUCCAGCCAUAGUAAAUAAAUUGAACAAUAAAUAAAUUAAAGCUUGUGACAAGGGCUUUAAUUCAGCACCAUUCACAUAAAUCAAAACUUAAAGCAGUAGGCGGUAAAACCGUCCAUGAUAAAUAAAUUGCUUUAAAGUAAAUAGAACUUGUGACAUGGGCUUUAAACCAACACCAUGCACAUAAAUAUCAAAGCUUUAAAGCAAAAAGUAAUAAUUCUACCCACUGUAAAUAAAUUGCUUUAAAUAAAUAGAACUUGUGAAAGUGUUUUAAGCCAACACCAUUCACAUAAAUAAAUAUAUACAUAAUUUCUUCUUUCUUUUCAGAUGGUGUAACACCAUCCAAAAACCUUUACCUUUAUUAUUAUUUUUUCUUAUUCAUUCACAUGCUACAACAUUCCAACAACUUUUGUUUUUAUUUCUUUUAUUUUACAUGGUGCAACGCACCUUUCUAAAUCAUUGGCCCCAUUUCCCCUUUUCUUUGUCUGUCUCUACCAGUCUCGAAACCCAGUACCAGCUGGGUUGUUGUGGGGGUUAGACAAAACCAAUUCAAUCCAAAAAGGCUACCAGAGACUGGCGUUGUUCUUGCAUGGCCCAAAGAACAUAGCAUUGCAAAGCAAGAACCUCUCCAUAGAGACAUAGAUGACAGUGAGGUUGACGAAGGCACAAGAGAGGGAGGCCUGUGUGGAGUCAGUCAUGCCAUCACCAUCUCAGACAACUGAGGAUUCAUGGAGGUCCUCGAGAUCCAUUGAGAACGACACGAUCUGGGUUUCCAAGUCUAAUGAGAUUCUUCUGGAUCUCUGGAAACCAGUUGUCAGGUACGAGUUUUCUUAUCUCGUGACGACUUCAGGUCGUUGGAAAUUUCAAUUCGCACCGGAAUUCGGUGGGGCGCUUCUGGCGCAGUAGGAGAAACGAAAAAUGGACAUACCUUUACUUGUUUUGCUGCACCUUUGUUUGUCUGUAAGAUCUCUCCAUCUUUCUUGUCCACGAGAGAAAAAAUAGAUUGCAGAUCUAGCAGGGAUAAGGAUUAGCACAUCAAUAGUUAGAGUGAUAAAAGAAAAAGUGAUAAAAGAAAGGUUGAUGGAUUUUUGGGACAAAAGGAUCUUCCCUGUUUGUCGUGUCUGGCUUGCCGUCUCUACUCUGUGUUUAUCCGAAUUUAUGGCGUUAUGCUUUCCACUGACAUGAGAGCUUCUCGUGCUGAUAACGUGUUGUAAAAUCGACUGUGGGUGCAGUGGAAUAAAUGAAACAAGACACAAAAUUUACGAGGUUCCUCUACAGUCAGUAUGACUGGAGUACGUCCUCGGGGCAGCAGUGGUGCUUGUUGGAAAUGUGCCCUAAAGCCAAUCAUGUGAUGAUACUUUACGGACAUUUCACAUGUUAAACUAAUCUAGUU